GAUGAAGAACGUAGCGAAAUGCGAUAAGUAAUGUGAAUUGCAGAAUUCCGUGAAUCAUCGCAUCUUUGAACGCACAUUGCGCCCUCUGGUAUUCCGGGGGGCAUGCCUGUCCGAGCGUCAUUUGCAACCCUCAAGCCCGGCUUGUGUGAUGGGUGCCGUCCCCUACGGGACGCGCCCCGAAGGCAAUGGCGGCGUCGCGGUUAUCCGAUCAGCCAAAGUGUAUGGGGCUUUGUCACUCACUUUACGGCCCGGACCGGCGCCAGUCCGAAUCAAUCUUUUUUCUAAAGUUGACCUCGGAUCAGGUAGGGAUACCCGCUGAACUUAAGCAUAUCAAUAAGCGGAGGA
rnacentral:misc_RNA from 1 species